UCACGACCGUACCGCAAACCGACACUGGUGCGCGAGAUGAGUAUUCUAAGGCGCUUGAGAGAACUCAGGAGAAGGAACUCGGCAAAUUGACACCGUAACUUCGGAAGAAGGUGUGCCUUUAGUAGGUGAAGGGAUUUACUCCUGGAGCCCAAUGAGGUUGCAAAAAAUCGGUGGCUGCGACUGUUUAUUAAAAACACAGCACUCUGCAAACACGAAAGUGGACGUAUAGGGUGUGACGCCUGCCCGGUGCUGGAAGAUUAAAUGAUGGGGUGCAAGCUCUUGAUUGAAGUCCCAGUAAACGGCGGCCGUAACGAUAACGGUCCUAAGGUAGCGAGAUUCCUUGUCGGGUAAGUUCCGACCUGCACGAAUGGCGUAACGAUGGCCACACUGUCUCCUCCUGAGACUCAGCGAAGUUGAAAUGUUUGUGAUGAUGCAAUCUCCCCGCGGAAAGACGGAAAGACCCCAUGAACCUUUACUGUAGCUUUGUAUUGGACUUUGAACAGAUCUGUGUAGGAUAGGUGGGAGGCUUUGAAGCAGGGUCGCUAGAUCUUGUGGAGCCAACGUUGAAAUACCACCCUGGUGUGUUUGAGGUUCUAACCUAGGCCCGUAAUCCGGGUUGGGGACAGUGCAUGGUAGGCAGUUUGACUGGGGCGGUCUCCUCCCAAAGUGUAACGGAGGAGUUCGAAGGUACGCUAGUUACGGUCGGACAUCGUGACGAUAGUGCAAUGGCAUAAGCGUGCUUAACUGCGAGACUGACAAGUCGAGCAGAUGCGAAAGCAGGACAUAGUGAUCCGGUGGUUCUGUAUGGAAGGGCCAUCGCUCAACGGAUAAAAGGUACUCUGGGGAUAACAGGCUGAUACCUCCCAAGAGUUCAUAUCGACGGCGGUGUUUGGCACCUCGAUGUCGGCUCAUCUCAUCCUGGGGCUGUAGCCGGUCCCAAGGGUAUGGCUGUUCGCCAUUUAAAGAGGUACGUGAGCUGGGUUUAAAACGUCGUGAGACAGUUUGGUCCCUAUCUUCCGUGGGCACUGCAGAUUUGAGGAAGCCUGCUCCUAGUACGAGAGGACCGGAGUGGACGCACCUCUGGUGUAUCGGUUGUCACGCCAGUGGCAUUGCCGAGUAGCUAUGUGCGGAAGAGAUAACCGCUGAAAGCAUCUAAGCGGGAAACUCGUUUCAAGAUGAGAUCUGCCGGGGCCUUGAGCCCCCUGAAGAGUCGUUCAAGACCAGGACGUUGAUAGGUCGGGUGUGGAAGCGCAGUAAUGCGUUAAGCUAACCGAUACUAAUUGCUCGUGCGGCUUGACCCC
rnacentral:rRNA from 1 species